AGAUCCUGAAAAGAAGGCAGCACAGCAGCUUUUGGGGAGCCCAGCUGAAGGGGAAGGAAUUCUGUCUCCAGGGCCAUCCUUGGUUGUUCUUCAGUGGGUGUGAGCAGAUGCUGCCCAGGUUGCCACUGCAGAGCCUUCAGCUGCUGAGCUGCUUUCUGGCCCACUGGAAAUCAAUGGCACUGGAAUCCUUGGGAGCAAAUCAUCGGAUGGAACAUGGGAAAACUGCUCUUUGUAAGGAUGUGGAGAAAGUUUGGGGAGAACAACAGUAUUUAUUUACAGAUAACUGCCAAGAUUGACUGUUGGUUCCAUAUUAGCCCUGCCAAGUGUUGGUGUUUGGAGGGAUAAGGAUGUGGGUGAACUGUGCUGGAGUGGGAGAUGACUCUGCUUUGGGCUCUGUCCAGUGGGAUGCUGCCUUAUCCAGCAAUCAAGGUGGGAAGUCACAGGAAAUCCCUGGAGUGGGUAUGUGCUGGCUGGAAUCUCCAGGAAGGAGGAGCACGGAGCCCAGUUUAUUUCCAUAGGAAAUAAGAAUUCCCAUAUAAAGGUUUGGCAGGGAGAACUGCACACACACCUGGCCAUAAAUUCAAUCCCAUCAGAUGAAGUUGGUUUUUUGUUUUAAUUUACAAAUAUGUGCCUUUUUUUCUUCUCUUUCCUUUCUUUCUUUCUUUUUCCUCUUUUCUCACAUGAGAAAGUCUUCUUUGAGAAGGCUUUGUUUAACUCAGCACAAAGCUCUCCAGAUACUUGAUAUCCCGGCAUUUUUGUGAUAUUCUAGAACUCCAUUAAACUGUUUCAUUUAUUCCUGCAAGCCCAAGUGUGCAAAGCAAAUCCUUGGUUGGGGAUUUAUCCCCCCUUCCCCCAGUAUUGUGGGUUAACACAAAAGCCACAACUGAGCUCUGGGUCUGCCAAUUAUUGAAAGAUAAAAUAGCAAUUAGAGGGGGUGAAGAAGGAUGACAAACCUUUGACAUGUUAUCGUUCUUCCUGCUGGGAGAUGAUUAUCCAAAGGGAGCUGGAGCUGUGGGAAGCCACCCAGCCAUCCUUCAAAACAGGAAUUUUGUCACUCACUGCAGAUUCCAUUCCUUUCCUUGGCUGGGCUGUUUCAUUUAUUUCAAUUAAUGGGCGCACUUGAGCUGACAAGAUAUUCACUUGUUUCUCUAUUUUUUGCAUUUUACUGUAUUUUAGUGUCUGUGACUUGUCUCAGCAUUGAUAUUUCUCGCCAUGAUGUGUCUCCUAUGACAAGGAAGGUCACACAACUGGAGAUGCAUCAUCCAUCCUUCAGGGCACUGAGAGGUUCUCAGCCCCACCUCUCUGUCCCACUGCUGCUUGUCUGCCCAUCUGGAACACCCAAUUAACACCUGGGCUAAUUAACAGUGCUGGGGGGGCCUCUUCGGUUACCUGUUAUUGGUUUUGGCAGGGAUAAAUCACACUGAACACUACAGGAGUUGUGCUAGGCCAUGAUGGAAAACAUAAAAAAAUGCACUUGCAGAUUUUAAAUAUUCAUAAAACUUUUAAUACAAGAUUUUGUAUAGUGAAUAAAACUGAUAUUUUACUUCUUUGUAGAGCACCAACAGGGCACUGUGUACCUUGGGCUCAGUGCAGGGCCAGUGAUCAGCUCGUGGAGAAAUAGCUGAUUGGUAUUUUUUUAAGUUUGGUUGUUUGCUGGUUUUGACAGUGGAGUUUGGCCUUUUGGAACUGUCCAUUUGAAAUGUGUUGGUCUGUACAAAACUGCAGGUGAAAGACUGAGUGCAAUUAUUCCCCAUGGAUUAUCUCAGGGCAAAACACUUGGUCACUGAAGUCAGGGAUCCACAAACUGUUUGUAUGACCACAAACAGGAGCAUUUCUGAUUUACAGAGCAGUUCCUAAACCUGAAAAUAUAUGAUUUAAUUCCUAUACUAUUCCCACUUUCAUGCAGGAUCAGGUUUCCCCUUGUUGAAGAAUAUUUCUUUUCAGUUUAGGUCAGUUUUUAAUAGAAAAAAAAAAUUCCUUGUGCUGGGAGCUGCUUUAGAGAAGGAAAAUUGCCUUUCUCCUCAUCAACUUUUCCAAGCCUUUUGCAAAGAUGAAUUGGGGACUGUAUUUCAUUUUAACUAAUCACAUAUUAUUGCAGUUUUGUAGAGUAAAUACACAGAUGUCAGUGGCACUUCAGAAGUCGCAGUUUCAGGGUUCCUGAAAUCAUCUUGAAAAAAAAGAAAUGGAAAUUAUUUCUUAUUUCCCGCCCUGUGUUGCUUUGAAUGCAAAAUCUUGGCAGGGCAAGAGGCAAUAAAUCGAUUUUCAAGGAGUUCCAGUUAGGGAUUGUUGGGGUUUGGGUGUUUAGCAACCUGUCCUGACAGUGGUGCUUGGUCCAAAUGAUCCUCCUACCUCACCUUUUCCAGCUGUCCGUGAAUUAUCAUCAGGAAGAAGGUACAGAGCUGCAAAUGUCCAGACUGUGAGUUGAUCACAUGUAUCAUCUGCAUGCUCCUGAUCAGCCAAAAAUUAUGAAAAGCAAGAAGUGACCUGGGAAUUCAGUGGGUCAGGUUCCAAUGGCACAGACCUGACCCCAGUGUGUGUGGCUGGAACUGGGCAGGUAAAGCAGCAGACAGUGAUUUGAAAUGUAUUGAUACUUGUAUUUUUACCCCCCGGGGGGUAUUUUAAUGCAGCAGUAAUUUAAGGCUGAUGUAUUUUAAUCAAUGCCUUGAAGCAAUAGUUAAAGUCACAAAAUGGCUUCUGUUAAACUUCCCUGUUUUCAAACACCCAGAACUUCCACUGGCAGCACAGAUGGAUUUGAUCUAUACCCCAAGCAGAUUUCUUGGGGUUGGUUACUUAGUUUUAUGCGUUAUUUAAAAAAAAUAAACCACCUUGGCUUCCUUUGAGCCAUGGCCAUCAUAAAAACUGCACUUGGUAUUAUACUUUAUGAGGUAAAAUUGCAAAUUUGCUCUUCUUGGCUCUCCACGAGAGACCAGUGAAGUUUGAACCUGCAGAGCUGCCACAGAGCCACGUCCUGUCUGUAUUUUCACGUGUUUCAGCUGCCCCUCAGUGAGGACCUGCCAGGAUGAGGGUUUGAAGGUCUUGCUGCAGUUCAGACUCUCUCAUAAAGCAAUUUGCUAUUUUGACAACUUUGAAAGUGAUGCAGUUUUGCAUAUUCAACAUUUGGAGAGCUAAUCCAGUGGCUUUUAACAAAGGCAGGUGAUUGUUUCUCUUUUUUAGACCCAAAUGAGGUGGGAUGUGAGUAACUUCGGUGGUAAAUUAAUUGUAGGUGGUUUCUGCCUUUUUUGCAGUGGCUGAAGAGCCGAUUUCUCUUGUAGCUGAUUCUGGCAGGUUUGUUCCACUUAAUGGUAAAAAGGUCAAUUGCAUGAGAAUAAAAAGGAAGAAAAAAUCUAAAAUGACAUCUUUGAACUAGACAGGCAGUGAAAUUAAAAUUCUAAAUGGUUGAUAGGAGGCUUGGAAUGCCCCCUGAAUAGAAGACUAAACACAGUCACCUCCUUUAUGGAAGAAUCUUUUGUUGAAGGUUGGCUUUUCUAUCUUUUUGCUGAAUUUCCAUCAGCUAUUUUAUUGUCUAAUUACUACCAGAAAAAGUUAUUUAUUUCUUUUGUCUAACAGCCAUUUCUGCAAGUUCUGUGCCUGCCUUGACCACAGAAAAACCUCUUUUCUUCAUUUCAUUGCCUAUAUUAUAAAGCACACUCUGUGUCUAAUCCUUCUUUCCUUUACAUCUUGAUUUUAGCAAUAAAUGUUGCCUGAAAGUUUGGAUCUAAUUAUUGAAAUCACUUGGGAAUCUCCUACGUACAGAAAGAUGAUCAAAACUCUAAUUUUUAUUUAUAGUCUCAGUUCUAAUUAAUGCACAUCUUUGUCUGAGCAAAAUUAUCCCCUUUCUGAUAUUUUUUUUCCAUGCUUUAUGGUUUGGGAUCAUCUCUACGUUUCAUCAAUAUCCAGCUGGAUUUUUUCCUCCAGUUCAUUAAUAAAGAUAUUAAAUUGCACCAGCCAACAUAACAACAAACAUUGCUGGAUCUGUUCUUUCCCCUUGAGGUCUAUACCCUUUGUUUCCUUUACAGUCAAACAUUUCCAGUGUUUUCCUCCACGUUGAUCAGGUAUUGUCUUGCCAGAUUCCUUACUUUAAAAUUUCCUGGGUAUGAAAUUUUAGUCCAAUUAAAAGCAUCCUUCUCCUUCUUUCCCCUUUGCCCCAUCGAGUGAAUUUUUUUCCUCAUUUGUAUUUUUUGCAAAAUAAUUCAGUUUCAUCCAAAUGUUGAGUCUCUGCCAAACCCGAGAGGGACUUUAACUGGAACACAGCGGGGUUAGAGGUGGAGUAUCCAUGGAAACAAACUUCCCUGCAGAUGUUCAGAUAUUCCUCGGGCAUCCCAAGCACGGGUAGAACGUGGGGCUGGUUCUGUCUUUGAAGGUUCACACCUGACCAGCACAGCCUGAGCUCUGUGUAAUGGCAGAUCCCAGCUCCAACAGGUGCUUCAGAGUAAUUGUGCUGAAAUAAUGGAUCCACUUCCCUGGUAUUGCCUUUGUAAGGAAAAGCCUACAUUUUCUCAGUGUUUCAUUCUCUCAAGUUGCAUCCUUAGCUCCAUUCUCUCCCAUUUUGCUCUGCUUUUUAAGCAGCUCUGUUAAAUCCUUGCCUUAACCUUUAUAUCAUUCCCCUCUCCUUGAACCUGAGCCCAUCCACAGCCAGGACUGCAGCCAAACCCUGCCUGGCUCAGCCAAGCAGCUCCAGCCAGGAAUAUCAUCCAUGGGAUUAGAUGGGCGAACACAGGAGAAGUAACCAGAAUGCAACAGCUCAACACCCUUCUCCCAGUCCAGCCCUCAGGCCCUGGACAUUGAACUGGUCAAACAAACGGGCUCAGUUGGAUGUUGGGAAUGAAGGACAUCCCUGGACUUGGGUGAGAUCAAAGGAAAUGUCGACCACGAGCUGCCAGGGAGUGCUGCACCUUCCCAACCACUUGGGAAAUGAGUGGAAUUCCCUCCAGGAUGAACCAGGCCGGGAAUCGAGAUGGGAGGGAAACAACCCAUAUUUGAAAUUACUGCUGUAAAACAUCCCUGCCUGGAAUUCCAGUUUGGUCCAACGAGCAGGAAGGUGAUUCAGCUCUUUGCUUAUUGGACUUUGUCAGCUUUCCAUGGCUGAAGCAGAAUCUGAUGGAAUGACACAGCUCCCUGCCACCUGCAAAGCAGGGAUGGAUUUCUGAGAGGAACUGUCUUGCACUGGGAAACAUCUCUGAGAAGCUCCUGGGAUCUGCUGGGUGUUCCUGGAGAAGGGACACGAGGGGACUGUCCCUCCCUGGCCACUGCAGGGCUGUCUCCCAGAAGAUGGAGCUCUUUCCCCAGCACUGCUGAUGGAGACCUUAUCUGUAUCACAGGCCCAUAAGGCUGGGACAACUGGGACACAGGAAUGCUCCUUGUGAGGCACUUGGAAACGUGCAGUUGAGCCCUCAAACCCCUUGAUGCAUUUUUUAGACGUGUUUCAGGUAAGCCUUGUAGUGUUUUUAAGGUUGUCUGAGUUUGCCUCAUUUCUAAGGGAAAAAACCCUAGAGACCUGUAGAUAAAUGUGGGAUUGAGUGUCCACUUUGUUGCACAAAUGUACAGUAGUUGAUCUUGAGCAAAUAAUUCUCCAGCUCUCAGACUCUGAUAAUCUGUGGACCGAGUAUCUAAUGCUGCAAAUGUUGUUUGGAAACUUUUAAGCCCUGUCCUGUUAUGCAAGAAAUGAGAAGUGAACAUUUCUACACUUGCAGUUUGAGCUGUACUGAACUAAGUCUGUGGAAUGCAUUGUGAAAUGUAAAAAACCAACAAAACCGCAAAAAAACCACCCCAGAACCCCGAGUCUCAAUAAAGCUUCUAGACAGAACGUGCCCUGGGUACUUGGUGUCUGAGGCAGCUCUAACCCUCGGUGUUUGUUGGGGGUGGUGGGUGGCUCCAGGUGGUGCCAGCGUGUCCCUCGGCUCCUCCGGCUCCUCCUCUCCUGGCACUGGAACCAGCUCGGGCAGCUCCAGCUCCCUGUAAGUCUGAGGGGUCUUGGUUUCUUUGGGUUUUGACACAAUGUUUGGGGCCAUUUUCUGCUUGCAAGGGAAUUGUAAAGCAAGUCCCAGGAGUCUUUCCAGAUCAACUUGCUAUUCAGAUUUAAGAACUGGACAUGGAAAACUUGUAUCCAAAUUUAUUUGAGACAGAUUUUCCUUUAAUGGCAUCUUGACCGUUGAAAAUAUAAAGUCAUGCAUUAAUGUUUUAGUUUCCAGUUUAAUACAGCGUUCCUUGGAACACUUCAUACGUGAAGCCAGAGCAGAGAAACAGAGACUGUGUUUCCUGACACACACUAUUGCUUUAAGGUACUUUUCACAUCACUUGAUUAAUUAAUUAAUGAAUUCUGCCACACAACUGCAGUUAUUUGGGACACAAUCACUGUGGAAGGAAGGCAGAGAUGAUUGAUUAGAGCACAGCAGAGGAGCUCACUGAUGUCACCACGUGACAGAACAGGAUGGGAUCCCAGAGGUUUCCCUAAAAACAGACUGCACAGGGACUGCUCUGUGUGUGCCCAACUGCUCUGCUGGGCAGUCAUAUAAGGCAUUAAUAAAUUCAGCUGUAAAAAAAGGUGAUUUUUGAGGUUGCUGAAGCACUUUGUGUGUUAAACAAGCAGGAAUCCACUCCUUUAACGGGAUGUUUUCGCUACUUUUCCAUGCAGUGGCAGCAGAGUGGCCUGGCAGGAAGGUUCCAGAGCUCAGCCCCUGUUGUCCUGAACUGGGACUAAAGCACUAUUUAGCAUUGCUUUGCAAAGACUAAAUCCCUGGAUUGAACAGCACAGGAUUGGACCAAAGCAGCUCCAUCGAACACCCAGCGGGAGGGAGA